UUGAUGAGUAAGAAGAAAAGAAAAGAUCCUCUUUCAUGGUGACCUUGGAAGCUGCAUGAAGACAGGGGUCUCAUCUGCCUUGGACAUCACUGAAUCCUAUGCACGGAGCACAAUGCCUGGAACGGGAGGAGCUCAAUGGUUACUGGUUGAAUUAAUACACUGAGGAAAUGGAUCAGCUGUAGACAACCUUACUUUGUUCUCUCAUAUCUCUUUCCCACCUGCUGGCCCUGCCUUUCCAUUUAAAUCCAGAGCCAAGCACACAUUCCUUACUAUAUAUUUUUUUGUACUGAUUAAAAUGUUUCAUAAACUUUUACCACA
rnacentral:lncRNA from 10 species